rnacentral:rRNA from 1 species
ACACGUAUGCAACCUACCUUUUACAGGAGUAUAGCUCCCCGAAAGGGGAAUUAACCCUCCAUAAUAUCAUUGGAUGGCAUCAUUUGAUGAUUAAAACUGAGGUGGUAAAAGAUGGGCAUGCGUCUGAUUAGUUAGUUGGCAGUGUAACGGACUACCAAGACGAUGAUCAGUAGGGGACCUGAGAGGGUGAUCCCCCACACUGGCACUGAGAUACGGGCCAGACUCCUACGGGAGGCAGCAGUAGGGAAUAUUGGACAAUGGGUGAGAGCCUGAUCCAGCCAUGCCGCGUGCAGGAAGAAGGCGUUAUGCGUUGUAAACUGCUUUUGCCAGGGGAUAAAACGGUUCUGCGGAACUAAUUGAAGGUACCUGGUGAAUAAGCCACGGCUAACUACGUGCCAGCAGCCGCGGUAAUACGUAGGUGGCAAGCGUUGUCCGGAUUUAUUGGGUUUAAAGGGUGCGUAGGCGGCCCUGUAAGUCAGUGCUGAAAUAUCCCGGCUUAACCGGGAGGGUGGCAUUGAUACUGCAGGGCUUGAGUACAGAUGAGGUAGGCGGAAUUGACGGUGUAGCGGUGAAAUGCAUAGAUAUCGUCAAGAACACCGAUAGCGAAGGCAGCUUACCAAGCUGUAACUGACGCUGAGGCACGAAAGUGUGGGGAUCAAACAGGAUUAGAUACCCUGGUAGUCCACACUGUAAACGUUGAUGACUCGAUGUUGGCGAUAUACAGCCAGCGUCCAAGAGCAAUCGUUAAGUCAUCCACCUGGGGAGUACGCCGGCAACGGUGAAACUCAA